UGACUUCAGAUCAGACGUGGCAACUUGCUGAAUUUAAACAUAUUACUAAGCAGAGGAAAAGAAACUAACCAGGAUUCCCUCAGUAACGGCAAGUGAAGAGCCCACUGCUGAAUCGCCAGCCGUGUGAUGGGCGCAGGGAAAUGUGGCGUAUGGAAAUCCAUCUCCCCGGUGCUGCUCACAGGGCCCAAGUCCUUGAGAUUCAGGCUCAGCCCGUGGAUGGUGAGGCCGGUGGCGACCCCGGCGCAUCGGGAUCAAGUCUUUCUGGAGUUGGGUUGUUUAUGAAUGCAGCCCAAGGCAGGUGGUAAACUCCAUCUAAGGCUAAACACCAUCAUGAGACUGAUAGCGGACGAGUACCAUAAGGGAAAGUUGAAAAGAACUUUGAAGAGAGAGUUCAAGAGGGAGUUAAACCAUUCAGAGGUAAACAGGAGGGUCUGCGCGAUCUGCCCAGAGGAUUCAACCCAGCAGCCGGGAUGGCUGCCCGGGUGAGGCAGAUCCCUCUCCCCCUUUGGUGGGGUGGGGCACCAUCCCCGGGCAUACCGGCUGCAAUCGGGCACACUUCCUUUGAGGUGGUGCAUCGUGACCGGCACCUGGUCAGCUGGGAAGGCCACACAGAAGGUGGCUCCCCUCCCUGGAGGGGAGCAUUACAGCCUGUGGCAUCAGCCCUCGCUGUGCCCUGGGGUCAUGGGAGACAACCACUGCUGCAGCCUCCCUUGUGGCAGGAGCCGGUGGGACUGUCAACUGGGCUGGACUGCCAUCAGGGUGGCCCAACCGCAUCCCGCUGCCAAGCUCACCUCAUGUGCCCAGGGUCCGCGGUAACAUUGGUGAAUCACUCGUCCCAUCUUGAAACACGGACCAAGGAAUCUAACAGGUGCACAAGUCCGAUGGUGGGCAGGAGACCCCAUGGUGCAAUGAAAGUGAGGGCCAUCAAAUGCCAGCUGAGGCAGGAUCCCGUCUCACCCAUCUCGUCAGGGUGGUGAAGCGUGAGUGCACCUGGUGGGACCCGAAAGAUAAUGUACUAUGCCUGGGCAGGGCGAAGCCAGAAGAAACUCUGGUGGAGGUCCGUAGCAGUCCUGACAUGCAAAUAGGUCAUCUUACCUGGGUAUAGGGGUGAAAGACUAAUCGAACCAUCCAUUAACUGGUUCCUUCUGAAGUUUCUCUCAGGAUAGCUUUCGCUCGGCGGAUGCAGUUUUAUUUGGUAAAGUGAAUGAUUAAAGGUCUUUGGGCCUAAAGGAUCUCAACCUAUUCUCAAAUUUUAAAUAGGUAAGAAGUCCUACUCAUUGGCUUGGAGCUGGGCGUGGAAUGCGAGCACCCAGUGGGCUACUUUCAGCAAGCAGAACUGGCGCUGCAAGAUGAACCAAACACCGGAUUAAGGUGCCUGAUGUCGAUGCUCAGCAGACCCCAGAAAAGGUGUUGGUUGAUAUAAACAGUAGAAUGGUGGCCAUGGAAGUCAGAAUCUGCUAUGGAGUAUGUAACAACUCACCUGCCAAAUCAACUAGCCCUGAAAAUGGUUGGCGCUGGAGAAUUGGGCCCAUACCCGGCCAUCACUGGGAGCCAAGGGAGGUAAGCCACAACAAGUAGGAAGGCCGCUGCAGUUAUACGGAAGCCCAGGGUGAGGGUCUGGGUGGAGCCACUGUGGGUGCAGAUCUUGGUGGUAGUAGCAAAUAUUCAAAUGAGAGCUUUGAAGGCCAAAGUGGAAAAUGGUUCCAUGUGAACAGCAGUUGAACAUGGGUCAGUCGAUCCUGAGAGAUAAGCGAGUGCCAUUCCAAACGGGCAGGUGAUGGCCUCUGUCACCCUCAGAGAAUCAAAAGGGAGUCGGGUUCAGAUCCCAGAAUCCGGAGUGGCGGAGAUGGGCACCUCGCAGCAUAGAGUGCGGUGACACAAAUGAUUCCAGAGACGCCAGUGAGGGCCCCUGGGAGAGUUCUUUUUUCUUUGUAAAGGGCAGGUCACCCUGGACUGGGUUUGCCCUGAGAGAGGGGCCCGUUCCCUGGAAAGCAUUGCGGUUCUGGCAGCAUCAGGUGAGCUCUCGCUGGACCUUGAAAAUCCAGGGGAGAGGGUGUAAGUUUUGCGCUGAGCUGUACCCAUAUCCGCAGCAGGUCUCCAAGGUGAACAGCCUCUGGCAUGUUAGAACAAUGUAGGUAAAGGAAGUUGGCAAGCCAGAAACAUAACUUUGGGAUAAGGAUUGGCUCUAAGAGCUGGGUCGGUCGGGCUCGGGCGUGAAGUGGAGCUGGGGGCGUGCCACGGCUGGACAAGGUGUUGCCCCCUCACCAUGCCCCCCCCCUCCCGGCGGGGUGGGUGAGACAGACGUUGCAACUCUGGAUGCAUGCUGGGCCCUUCUUGUGGAUCGCCUCGGCUGUGGUGGGUGCCGGUCCCAACCGGCAUCCUGCAUCAUCUGAGAGCCAGCAAGCUGACUUAGAACUGGUGUAGACUGGGGGAAUCUGACUGUUUAAUUAAAACAAAGCAUUGCAAAGGCCCAAGACGGGUGUUGACGUGAUGUGAUUUC